GGCAGCAUGGUCUUAGCUUGCUAAGGCCGAUGGCGACCGGCGCACGGGUGAGUAACACGUAUCCAACCUGCCGUCUACUCUUGGACAGCCUUCUGAAAGGAAGAUUAAUACAAGAUGGCAUCAUGAGUCCGCAUGUUCACAUGAUUAAAGGUAUUCCGGUAGACGAUGGGGAUGCGUUCCAUUAGAUAGUAGGCGGGGUAACGGCCCACCUAGUCUUCGAUGGAUAGGGGCUCUGAGAGGAAGGUCCCCCACAUUGGAACUGAGACACGGUCCAAACUCCUACGGGAGGCAGCAGUGAGGAAUAUUGGUCAAUGGGCGAGAGCCUGAACCAGCCAAGUAGCGUGAAGGAUGACUGCCCUAUGGGUUGUAAACUUCUUUUAUAAAGGAAUAAAGUCGGGUAUGCAUACCCGUUUGCAUGUACUUUAUGAAUAAGGAUCGGCUAACUCCGUGCCAGCAGCCGCGGUAAUACGGAGGAUCCGAGCGUUAUCCGGAUUUAUUGGGUUUAAAGGGAGCGUAGAUGGAUGCUUAAGUCAGUUGUGAAAGUUUGCGGCUCAACCGUAAAAUUGCAGUUGAUAC
rnacentral:rRNA from 1 species